AUACGGAGGAUCCGAGCGUUAUCCGGAUUUAUUGGGUUUAGAGGGUGCGCAGGCGGCCAUUUAAGUCAGCGGUUAAAUCGUGGGGCUCAACCCCAUUCUGCCGUUGAUACUGGGUGGCUUGAUUGCGGUCGAGGUUGGCGGAAUUCGUUGUGUAGCGGUGAAAUGCAUAGAUAUGACGAAGAACACCGAUUGCGUAGGCAGCUGACCAGACCGCAAAUGACGCUCAUGCACGAAAGUGCGGGGAUCGAACAGGAUUAGAUACCCUGGUAGUCCGCACAGUAAACGAUGAAUACUUGUUUUCGGCGAUAUAAUGUCGGAGGCAAAGCGAAAGCGAUAAGUAUUCCACCUGGGGAGUACGCCGGCAACGGUGAAACUCAAAUGAAUUGGCGGGG
rnacentral:rRNA from 1 species